UACGAAGGGGGCUAGCGUUGUUCGGAAUCACUGGGCGUAAAGGGCGCGUAGGCGGCCGAUUAAGUCGGGGGUGAAAGCCUGUGGCUCAACCACAGAAUUGCCUUCGAUACUGAUUGGCUUGAGACCGGAAGAGGUCAGUGGAACUGCGAGUGUAGAGGUGAAAUUCGUAGAUAUUCGCAAGAACGCCAGUGGCGAAGGCGGCUCACUGGCCCGAUACUGACGCUGAGGCACGAAAGCGUGGGGAGCAAACAGG
rnacentral:rRNA from 1 species